GCUCAGGCUGCAGCAUCUAAAAGGGACAAACAAUGGGAAGGAACUAAAGCUGAAGGUAGAGGACGCAGCACACUUCAUCCCUUGGCUACAACAGUUGGCUCCAUCGUCAAGUCAACAGGCAGCAAACAAGCCAUUGAGGCCGCUGUGAGAGUUCGAUUGAAUAAGGUUUAACAGAUAUCCACACCUGAACUGCUUCAGGCAAAGACAGAGAGAGAGGCCAAGCCGAAGCCCAGAUGUAUUCCCGAGGGGCAGAGUGGAACAGAUGUAUCCAUAGGCUGAGAUGAGCAGCUAAACUAAGGAAACCUUCUGCUAAUCUUAUUCUCAAAUUAAAAGAGAGAAGAAAACAUAUGAAACGCAAAAAGUAAAGCUCCUUGUUUACAUUAUGAGUCACUGAGGAUGGAAUGGCACUCACAUCCUAUUUUUUAUGCUUUAAAUGGCAUUUUGUAUUCUUUAACAUUUAAUUUAAUAAACAAAAACCCAUUAAACAUAUCCCCUGGAGAAAUUGAGCAUAUUUCCACAAUAAUUUAACUGUGUAAACUAUUGUGUUUAGUUCAAUGUAGGAAAAUUAAUAUCAACGUGACUGCAGGCUUGUUUUUAAAAGCUCAUCUUUAUACUGUAAUGUA